GACGAACGCUGGCGGCGUGCUUAACACAUGCAAGUCGAACGAUGAACCCGGAGCUUGCUCCGGCGGAUUAGUGGCGAACGGGUGAGUAACACGUGAGUAACCUGCCCUUGACUCUGGGAUAACUGCUAGAAAUGGUAGCUAAUACCGGAUACGACCCUCGGUGGCAUCACCAGGGGGUGGAAAGAAUUUCGGUCAAGGAUGGACUGGCGGCCUAUCAGCUAGUUGGUGAGGUAACGGCUCACCAAGGCGACGACGGGUAGCCGGCCUGAGAGGGUGACCGGCCACACUGGGACUGAGACACGGCCCAGACUCCUACGGGAGGCAGCAGUGGGGAAUAGUGCACAAUGGGCGCAAGGCGGAUGCAGCAACGCCGGGUGAGGGAUGACGGCCUUCGGGUUGUAAACCUCUUUUAGUAGGGAAGAAGCGAAAGUGACGGUACCUGCAGAAAAAGCACCGGCUAACUACGUGCCAGCCGCCGCCGUAA
rnacentral:rRNA from 1 species